rnacentral:rRNA from 1 species
UACGAAGGGUGCAAGCGUUAAUCGGAAUUACUGGGCGUAAAGCGCACGCAGGCGGUUCGCCAAGUUUGGAGUGACAGUUGUCGGCUCAACCGACAAAGGACUUCAAAAACUGGUGAACUUGAGGACGAGAGAGGAACAUGGAACUCCAGGUGUAGUAGUGAAAUGCGUAGAUAUCUGGAAGAACACCAAUGGCGAAGGCAAUGUUCUGGCUCGUUUCUGACGCUCAGGUGCGAAAGCCAGGGGAGCGAACGGG